CCUACGGGAGGCAGCAGUGGGGAAUAUUGGACAAUGGGCGCAAGCCUGAUCCAGCAAUGCCGCGUGAGUGAUGAAGGCCUUAGGGUCGUAAAGCUCUUUUACCAGGGAUGAUAAUGACAGUACCUGGAGAAUAAGCUCCGGCUAACUCCGUGCCAGCAGCCGCGGUAAUACGGAGGGAGCUAGCGUUGUUCGGAAUUACUGGGCGUAAAGCGUACGUAGGCGGUUAUUCAAGUCAGAGGUGAAAGCCCGGGGCUCAACCCCGGAACGGCCUUUGAAACUAGGUAGCUAGAAUCUUGGAGAGGUCAGUGGAAUUCCGAGUGUAGAGGUGAAAUUCGUAGAUAUUCGGAAGAACACCAGUGGCGAAGGCGACUGACUGGACAAGUAUUGACGCUGAGGUACGAAAGCGUGGGGAGCAAACAGGAUUAGAUACCCUGGUAGUCCACGCCGUAAACGAUGAUAACUAGCUGUUCGGGCACUUGGUGCUUGAGUGGCGCAGCUACGACAUAAGUUAUCCGUCCGUCGGGUAGGUACGGUCGCGAAGAAGUUAAAACUUAAAAUUAAGAAGUUAGUAACGGUACGUGUUAGACGUAGACCGAACGGACGACGACGAGGGAGGAGGG
rnacentral:rRNA from 1 species